CCGUGAAACUGCGAAUGGCUCAUUAAAUCAGUUAUCGUUUAUUUGAUAGUACCUUACUACUUGGAUAACCGUGGUAAUUCUAGAGCUAAUACAUGCUAAAAACCCCAACUUCGGAAGGGGUGUAUUUAUUAGAUAAAAAACCAAUGCCCUUCGGGGCUCUUUGGUGAUUCAUAAUAACUUAACGGAUCGCAUGGCCUUGCGCCGGCGACGGUUCAUUCAAAUUUCUGCCCUAUCAACUUUCGAUGGUAAGGUAUUGGCUUACCAUGGUUUCAACGGGUAACGGGGAAUUAGGGUUCGAUUCCGGAGAGGGAGCCUGAGAAACGGCUACCACAUCCAAGGAAGGCAGCAGGCGCGCAAAUUACCCAAUCCCGACACGGGGAGGUAGUGACAAUAAAUACUGAUACAGGGCUCUUUUGGGUCUUGUAAUUGGAAUGAGUACAAUUUAAACCCCUUAACGAGGAACAAUUGGAGGGCAAGUCUGGUGCCAGCAGCCGCGGUAAUUCCAGCUCCAAUAGCGUAUAUUAAAGUUGUUGCAGUUAAAAAGCUCGUAGUUGAAACUUGGGCCUGGCUGACCGGUCCGCCUCACCGCGUGUACUGGUCCGGCCGGGCCUUUCCUUCUGGAGAGCCUCAUGCCCUUCACUGGGUGUGUUGGGGAACCAGGACUUUUACUUUGAAAAAAUUAGAGUGUUCAAAGCAGGCCUUUGCUCGAAUACGUUAGCAUGGAAUAAUAGAAUAGGACGUGCGAUCCUAUUUUGUUGGUUUCUAGGACCGCCGUAAUGAUUAAUAGGGAUAGUCGGGGGCAUCAGUAUUCAAUUGUCAGAGGUGAAAUUCUUGGAUUUAUUGAAGACUAACUACUGCGAAAGCAUUUGCCAAGGAUGUUUUCAUUAAUCAGUGAACGAAAGUUAGGGGAUCGAAGACGAUCAGAUACCGUCGUAGUCUUAACCGUAAACUAUGCCGACUAGGGAUCGGGCGAUGUUAUUAUUUUGACUCGCUCGGCACCUUACGAGAAAUCAAAG
rnacentral:rRNA from 1 species